GGAAAGGUGUCUGAGUGGUCGAAAGAGCACGCUUGGAAGGCGUGUGUGCCCCAGAAGGGUACCGCGGGUUCGAAUCCCGCCCUUUCCG
rnacentral:tRNA from 1 species